GUGCUGUGAUGCUUUUAUCAACACAUCAUUCUGACCCAGCUGUGGGGAAAGAUCUCAUGUAACUGAGCACA